rnacentral:rRNA from 1 species
UAGGGAAUCUUCCACAAUGGGCGAAAGCCUGAUGGAGCAACGCCGCGUGUGUGAUGAAGGGUUUCGGCUCGUAAAACACUGUUGUAAGAGAAGAACAUAUCUGAGAGUAACUGUUCAGGUAUUGACGGUAUUUAACCAGAAAGCCACGGCUAACUACGUGCCAG